rnacentral:rRNA from 1 species
UACGGAAGGCAGCAGGGGGAAUAUUGCACAAUGGGCGAAAGCCUGAUGCAGCUAUGCCGCGUGUAUGAAGAAGGCCUUAGGGUUGUAAAGUACUUUCAUCGGGGAGGAAAAACAAAACUAAUAAUUUUAUUUCUUGACGUUACCCGAAAAAGAAGCACCGGCUAACUCCGUGCCAGCAGCCGCGGUAAUACGGAGGGUGCUAGCGUUAAUCAGAAUUACUGGGCGUAAAGAGCACGUAGGUGGUUUUUUUAAGUCAGAUGUGAAAUCCCUGGGCUUAACCUAGGAACUGCAUUUUGAAACUGAAAUACUAGAGUAUCGUAGAGGGAGGUAGAAUUCUAGGUGUAGCGGUGAAAUGCGUAGAUAUCUGGAGGAAUACCUGUGGCGAAAGCGGCCUCCUAAACGAAUACUGACACUGAGGUGCGAAAAGCGUGGGGAGCAAAACAGGGAUUAGAUACC